CAGAAGUCAUUAAAAUGAUUGAUCGUCAGAGCUGUAGUUAGUAGCUGCAGGGACAUCCAACGUGUCUUGAUAAAAACUGGAUGUCUACUUUUAUUGGCAAAUUCAUCAUAUUCAAUUCCUGUGUGGCUAAUGAGUCGGAGUGAGUACUAUUUAAGGUUUCCCAACAAUUUACUGUUUCAGUUUGCAUGCGAAAAACCUAUUAUUGAAUGUCUUCCCCUUAGCAUAAACAAUAAAUUCCUCGGUAAAGGGUAGUAAGCUUCGCUGAGAUGACAUUUCAAUGUCUAUAAUAGGAUUAUUACGAUUUGGGGCGGAAAGAGUAACUAAAUGUUGAAUGAAAACAAUCGAUCCAAUUUGAAUUUUGUCUGGAAACCUGAAAACGGAACAAAGAAGUUGUCUUUAAUUCUGCGGCUUAUUCAAUUAAAGGAAGCAUUACAGGUGUUUAAAUCUUUAAAACUAAUUAAUAUUGGGGUGGACGACACGCGAAAUUGGUUCGCUGUGACUGUGCUAAUUGGGUGUGGACCUGAACAUUCGUACUAUUGUCCAGUUUAUUAGAUACACGUGGUUUCACCGUUAGAUUUAAGUGAAGUUACUGUACUUGAAAUUAAAUCCUAGUAAGAAAAUUUGCAAGAAACGCAAUUUACUCGUCCACUGUCAUCAAUAUUCCAAGAUGUUGCAAUUCCAACUCCAACUUUUUGUUCAUUUAACAGUUUCCUACGACAUAAUUACUGUUGUUCUAGUACAAUAAAACAAACCAUGUCUUA